rnacentral:RNase_P_RNA from 2 species
UCCUCAUCAAAGCUGCGUUUCUAUGCUACAAACAGAAGGGAUGUCCAAACCAUUCCUUCACAACCAUACGGUUAUCACAUGCAUAUGAGAAAUUCGGAGUAAUCUUCAAAUCACUAAACUUAAUCUACGAUUAAGCUGUUGGUCUGCUCGUAAGGGCUCUGUGUGAUAUCACACACGCAAUUGGCAUCAGAAAAGCAGGUUGAUCCUAGUCUUUGGUCUCGCUAGAGAAAAUUGACAAGGGAUUGCACCUAUGGGAGAGCCGUUGUGAAGAUUGUGUGUGCCACAGCACGACACUUAAGUGCAAUACGCAGCGUACACUACUCAUCCAUUUUGGAAGAUGUUGUGUACAAUUCGAUUCCGAUUAUUCUGAUGAGGA